GGCCUUCGGGUUGUAAACUGCUUUUGUACGGAACGAAAAAGCUCCUACUAAUACUAGGAGUCCAUGACGGUACCGUAAGAAUAAGCACCGGCUAACUACGUGCCAGCAGCCGCGGUAAUACGUAGGGUGCGAGCGUUAAUCGGAAUUACUGGGCGUAAAGCGUGCGCAGGCGGUUAUGUAAGACAGGUGUGAAAUCCCCGGGCUUAACCUGGGACCUGCAUUUGUGACUGCAUAGCUUGAGUACGGUAGAGGGGGAUGGAAUUCCGCGUGUAGCAGUGAAAUGCGUAGAUAUGCGAAGGAACACCGAUGGCGAAGGCAAUCCCCUGGACCUGUACUGACGCUCAUGCACGAAAGCGUGGGGAGCAAACAGGAUUAGAUACCCUGGUAGUCCACGCCCUAAACGAUGUCAACUGGUUGUUGGGUCUUCACUGACUCANUAACGAAGCUAACGCGUGAAGUUGACCGCCUGGGGAGUACGGCCGCAAGGUUGAAACUCAAAGGAAAUUGACGG
rnacentral:rRNA from 1 species